CUGCAAUGUUGAGGCUGCUGAGUCACUCGUGUCUGUCAGUCCUGUACCUCUGGGUAUACUGGACACAAUGUAUCUGGAUCCCUUUGGCACAGGCUGUCUGACCACCAGCUUUCCUUUCCUGGUCUCUGCUAGAAACAGACUGUACCAGUAGGCAUCGUUGGACACCAGAGUGGAGUCUGCGAUGGUGGAGUUCCUCUCACUGAUCACACUGUUCCUGCAGGGAGGAGCCGCUUUGCUGGGCUUGGUUUUCUGACACUUGAGCACGAUGGUGACCAGUAUGGUGAUGAGCAGGAGAAAUGACACCGAGCCCAGACCGAUGACCAAGUACAGGUUCAGGUCAUUGAAGAUGUCGUACGCCAGAGGCACCUCAGUCAUGUCAGCGUAGGCCUUGACAGCAGUCUCCACUGUGGACAGCUUGAUGGUGACUGUAGCAGACAAAGCGGGCUGCCCGUUGUCCUUGGCAACAACAACCAGUCUCUGGUGGCGUGGGUCUCUGUAGCUGAACAUCCUCAUAGUCCGGAUCUCUCCGUUGUACUGGUCCAGACUGAACAAGGUGGCAUCAGUCACCUGCAGAAACUGGUAGGUGAUCCGAGAGUUGUGCACAGAGUCUGUGUCCAAGGCUAUCACCUUGGCAACCAGAGAGCCUUUAUCUGUGGACCUGGGGAUCUUUUCCUCCACCACUGAGCCGUGUGCUCGCCACGGAGACACAAUGACCGGAGCAUUAUCAUUCUGGUCCACAAUGAUGAUGUGGACUGUGACGUUACUGCUGAGAGGAGGAGAGCCAGAGUCUCUGGCCUCAAUGUGGAAAAGAAAGUCCUUCUCAAUCUCAUAGUCAAAAGUUUUGAGUGCGUAAAGAUUUCCGUUCUCUGGAUUGAUGGAGAACAGCAUGGACAUGGAGGUGUUGGCUAUCUCCUUCUCCAGGAUGAAAUAAACUAGAUACUGGUUUUCAUGGAGGUCAGGGUCAAAGGCAGUGAGGGAGCUGAGCAGGGCUCCAGGUGCGUUAUUCUCCAUCACACGGAUGGUAUAAAAUGACUGAGGGAACUGUGGGACAUUGUCGUUGACAUCCAGCAGCUCUAAGGUCAUAGUUUCAUUGUCAGAUAAAGGAGGAGAACCUCUGUCUGUCACAGUGAAGGUGAUGUCAUAUUCUGGAACCUUCUCACGGUCUAAGGGCUCUGACACCACUAACUCAUAAUAGUUAUCAGAGGACUCUCUCAGUUUGAAAGGCAUAUUAUCUGGAAUAUGAAGAUCAACCACUCCAUUAUCACCAGAGUCUUUAUCACUCACACUAACCACAGCUAUCACUGUGUCUAGUUCUAUGUUUUCAUUGACUGGACUCUGAAAUGAUUUAAUAGAUAUUUCUGGAUGGUUAUCAUUCAUGUCUUCUACCAGAAUCUUUAUGGUACACUGUCCUGACAAACUGUUGGCUCCUUUGUCAGUAGCUAUAAUCUCCAUAUCAUAAAUCCUGAAAUCCUCAUAAUUCAGCAUGCCUUUAACAGUGAUUUCACCAGUGGAGGGAUUCAGGUGAAAUGUUUCCUGUGUUUUCUCUGAAGUGUAUAAACUGUAAGAGUAAGUUACAUCAGAGUUAGAUCCCUCAUCUAGGUCUGUGGCGUUCAGGUGAAUGACAAUACUUCCUAUGGGAGAGUUUUCCAUUAUUUUUACAGUGUUAUUAGUUCUGUCAAAAGUAGGUGCGUUAUCAUUUGUGUCCAAAACAUGAACUAUUACACUUGCAGUACCAGAUCGAGCCGGUGUUCCUCCAUCUACAGCUGUAAGUAUUAAAUUAUGAACAGCCUCCUGCUCUCGAUCUAAAGCCUUAAUCAAAAUUAAAUCGGCAAAUUUCGACCCAUCUCUGCCAGUUUGCACUUCAAUGUCAAAAUAUUGACUGUAACUUAGACGGUAUGUUUUAACUGAAUUACCUCCUAUGUCAGGAUCGACCGCAUUGCUGAGGGAAAAUCGUUCUCCCUUUGGCGUAGAUUCAGAGAUAUCUAGAUGAAUGGCGUCUCUUCUAAAUUGAGGGGCGUUGUCGUUCAUAUCUAAUAUUUCUACUUCUAUGUUGAAAAUUCGAAGCGGAUUCUCGAGAAUAACUUCUAGUUUGAGAUAGCAAGUCGCUGACGUCUUGAAAGGGCAAAGGUGUUCUCUGUCUAUCUUUUCCACAACGUACAGCUCACCAGUCUCUUUGUUCACAUCCAGAUAUUUCUUAUUUGCGAUUAUGUCGAGCCGCAUCUUCCGCUGUUUCAGUGUUUUCACAUCCAAGCUCAGAUCGGCGGCAAGGUUUGCAACAAUUGAUCCUUCUUUCAUUUCCUCUGGUAUUGAAUAAUGAGUCACUGAGGAUGAUAUUAUUCCAACGAAAGUGAAAAGAACAGCGAACAGCACGUACCUCCUGUAGGGCUCCAUUGCUACAAAGCGUCCUAUUGUUGUGUGAACGUGCUGAACUCUGAACGAUUAAAAUCUAUUUUCUGGAAACAUCAGAAAUUACUGUGACCGCAACGAUCGUAUACAUGAUGCCACUGAACUACUCCCGAGCACACUCGUGCGUUAUUAAGGUAAAACGCAUAGUCCGGUUAGAGUUUCAGCACCACGGAGCUGUCCGAUCGUCUAAAGCACUGAUGAAAACCCACUCGUGUCAUGGCGUUUAGGGUCGGCAUUUAAUUUUGAAAACAGCGCCACCCUCCAAUUUUUAGAGAAAUAUUUGCACAAAGAGUGAAGAUUGAAUAAACAGAGGUUUAAAAUGUGUCACUACAUUGUUGUUUUUUUCUUUCCUAUAUAGAGGCAACGGCUGAAUAAUGUUGAAUACAGUCAUUCUCUCGACUUGCACAUUGGAAUUCAUGAAUGUAAAGAUAUUUAGAAUAAAAUAUUAAUUUAGACCCUAAAACUGGAGUAAAAAAACAGAAAAAUUAUGUUUUGUUUUUAAAUACAUCACUGGGUUCAAUCUAAUCAAGAACAGCUCAACACUGUGUUACUUUAGCCCGGUAUUAUGUUUGACGUAUUCACCCCAGUUGCUUGUUUAUUUUACAGGUUAUCAUACUAAAGGGGUGGGGUGAGUAAGAUGAAGCUAUUAUAUAGAGUUAAUGAACUCAGUAAAACACUUAAUUGUCAAGAUAAUGUUCGAAAUAUUCAUAUACUGUACUUAAAGUCAUGUACGGUGCAUAACUAUUUUAAUGACCUUUCAUAAAAAUCUAAAAACUAACUCUACCUUAUAAAAGCAUUCCCUUAAUCAUGACAGUAAAACUGUGCUUUUCAAAAACACUCUUUAAAACAGCAAAUGCAAAGUUGCUCUAAUAUCUGUCCUGUCUGUCUAACAAAUGCUAUAGAGGAGCACGGCUGGUCAUCUGUAAGUAUCAGAGUGGAGGGGUACAGACACCCUCAAGUUUAAAGCAAUAUGUUUGAGCCUGUCUGAGGAGGGAAAGAUACUAAAGAUCAUAUUCAAAAGUAAUGGAUAUGCAGGAUUCAAGUAUACUGAGGUUAUAUGUUAUAAUCUUAAAAUUGAAUUAGAUUUCUUCCCUUGGAAAGGAGAGCUGCACUUUCAUCCUUGAGCAAAUCUAGAGAAUAUCUGAUGGAUGUAUUGUUGAGUGUUGAUCACAGAAAGUCAGUGCUUCACUUAAGUCACAUUACAUCAGUCUGUUCACCAUCUAUCUCUUUUACCUGUUGUCUCUAUUAUGCUGUUUGCAUUAAAUAGACUAUGUUUAGUUUUCAUUCUCUAGUCUUUUGACCACCCAAAGCACUUUUACAUGACAUGUCAAAUUCAUCAAUUCACACCACAUUCACACACAAAUAGCGAAGGCUGCUCUGGCUCCCAUGCAUGAAAAUUGUUUAUUCUUCCCUUCUCUGAUUUUAACUUUGCCUUUUAAAUCUUAAAGAGAAAGGUGCUGGGUUUUUAGUGGUACAGGCAAAACAUUUACUGUUAACACUGCAGCUGUUUGCAUUUGAUUUCAAUUUCAGUUUUUAACUGUCACUGGGAGGAAUCAAACACAGGACCAGACAGAUAGGUUGAACUAUAACAACCCACCUCAAUUCAAAUAGCACAGAAAUUGGCCAUCAAGGUUGAAACAGCCUGAAGUAAAAUUAAGAUAAACAGCAUUUAAAAAAAUUGCAAGAAAAAUGUAAGUCAGACUUGUACCUGCAGAGUGGAGGCUGCUGAGUCACUAGUAUCUGUCAGUCCUGUACCUCUGGGUAUACUGGACACAAUGUAUCUGGAUCCCUUUGGCACAGGCUGUCUGACCACCAGCUUUCCUUUCCUGGUCUCUGCUAGAAACAGACUGUACCAGUAGGCAUCAUUGGACACCAGAGUGGAGUCUGCGAUGGUGGAGUUCCUCUCACUGAUCACACUGUUCCUGCAGGGAGGAGCCGCUUUGCUGGGCUUGGUUUUCUGACACUUGAGCACGAUGGUGACCAGUAUGGUGAUGAGCAGGAGAAAUGACACCAAGCCCAGACCGAUGACCAAGUACAGGUUCAGGUCAUUGAAGAUGUCGUACGCCAGAGGCACCUCAGUCAUGUCAGAGUAGGCCUUGACAGCAGUCUCCACUGUGGACAGCUUGAUGGUGACUGUAGCAGACAAAGCGGGCUGCCCGUUGUCCUUGGCAACAACAACCAGUCUCUGGUGGCGUGGGUCUCUGUAGCUGAACAUCCUCAUGGUCCGGAUCUCUCCGUUGUACUGGUCCAGACUGAACAAGGUGGCGUCGGUCACCUGCAGAAACUGGUAGGUGAUCCGAGAGUUGUGCACAGAGUCUGUGUCCAAGGCUAUCACCUUGGCAACCAGAGAGCCCUUAUCUGUGGACCUGGGGAUCUUUUCCUCCACCACUGAGCCAUGUGCUCGCCAUGGAGACACAAUGACCGGAGCGUUAUCAUUCUGGUCCACAAUGAUGAUGUGGACUGUGACGUUACUGCUGAGAGGAGGAGAGCCAGAGUCUCUGGCCUCAAUGUGGAAAAGAAAGUCCUUCUCAAUCUCAUAGUCAAAAGUUUUGAGUGCGUAAAGAUUUCCGUUCUCUGGAUUGAUGGAGAACAGCAUGGACAUGGAGGUGUUGGCUAUCUCCUUCUCCAGGAUGAAAUAAACUAGAUACUGGUUUUCAUGGAGGUCGGGGUCAAAGGCAGUGAGGGAGCUGAGCAGGGCUCCAGGUGCGUUAUUCUCCAUCACACGGAUGGUAUAAAAUGACUGAGGGAACUGUGGGACAUUGUCGUUGACAUCCAGCAGCUCUAAGGUCAUAGUUUCAUUGUCAGAUAAAGGAGGAGAACCUCUGUCUGUCACAGUGAAGGUGAUGUCAUAUUCUGGAACCUUCUCACGGUCUAAGGGCUCUGACACCACUAACUCAUAAUAGUUAUCAGAGGACUCUCUCAGUUUGAAAGGCAUAUUAUCUGGAAUAUGAAGAUCAACCACUCCAUUAUCACCAGAGUCUUUAUCACUCACACUAACCACAGCUAUCACUGUGUCUAGUUCUAUGUUUUCAUUGACUGGACUCUGAAAUGAUUUAAUAGAUAUUUCUGGAUGGUUAUCAUUCAUGUCUUCUACCAGAAUCUUUAUGCUACAUUGUCCUGACAAACUGUUGGCUCCUUUGUCAGUAGCUAUAACUUCCAUAUCAUAAAUCCUGAAAUCCUCAUAAUUCAGCAUGCCUUUAACAGUGAUUUCACCAGUGGAGGGAUUCAGGUGAAAUGUUUCCUGUGUUUUCUCUGAUGUGUAUAAACUGUAAGAGUAAGUUACAUCAGAGUUAGAUCCCUCAUCUAAGUCUGUGGCAUUCAGGUGAAUAACAAGACUGCCAAUAGGAGAAUUUUCCAUAAUCUUUAUAGUAGAACUUGCUCUGUCAAAAGUAGGUGCAUUAUCAUUGGUGUCUAAAACGCGAACUAUUACACUUGCAGUGCCUGAACGAGCCGGUGUUCCUCCAUCUACAGCUGUGAGUAUUAAAUUAUGAGUAGCAUGCUGCUCUCGAUCCAAUUUCUUUUUUAAGAUUAAUUCGGCAAAUUUCGACCCAUCUCGUCCAGUCUGUAUUUCAAUAUUAAAUUGCUCACUUUCACUUAGAUGAUAUGUUUUAACAGAAUUAAUUCCAACAUCGGGAUCAACUGCGUUGCUGAGAGAAAAUCUCUCUCCUACAGGCGUCGCUUCAGAAAUGUCUAGAUGAAUGACGUCUCUUCUGAACUGAGGGGCGUUGUCAUUUAUAUCUAAAAUUUCCACUUCUAUAUUGAAAAUUCGUACUGGAUUAUCAAGGAUUAUUUCCAGUUUGAGAUAGCAAGACACUGACGAUUUAGUGGUGCAAAUGUAUUCUCUGUCAAUUUUCUCGACAACGUACAGCUCACCAGUCUCUUUGUUCACAUCCAGAUAUUUCUUAUUUGCAAUGAUGUCGAGCCGCAUCCUCCGCUGGUUCAGUGUUUUAACGUCCAAGCUCAGAUCGGCGGCAAGGUUUGCAACAAUUGAUCCUUCUUUCAUUUCCUCUGGUAUUGAAUAAUGAGUCACUGAGGACGAUAUUUUCCCAACGAAAGUGAAAAGAACACCGAACAGCACGUACCUCCUGUAGGGCUCCAUUGCUACAAAGCGUCCCAUUGUUGUGUAGACGUACUGCACUCUGAACGAUUAAAAUCUAUUUUCUGGAAUUAUGUAAAUAUUACUGUAACCGCAUCGAUCGUGUACAUGAUGCCACUGAACUACUCCCGAGCACACUCGUGUAUUUUUAAGGAACAGCGAAUAGUCCGGUUAGAGUUUCAGCACCACGGAGCUGUCCGAUCGUCUGAAGCACUUAUGAAAACCCACUCGUGUCAUGGCGUUUAGGGGUCGGCACUUAAUUUUGAAAACAGCGCCACCCUCCAAUUUUUAGAGAAAUAUCUGCACAAUAAGUGGGGAUUAAAUACACAGGGGUUAAAGUGUGUCACUAUGUUGUUUUUCCCAAUAUAGAUGCCAAGGCUACGUUUUAAAUUCUUUCACUCUGUUGAUUUACACAUAGGAAUUAAUGAAUGUUUAGAUAUUAUACAUAAAAUAUCAAUUUAUACCCUAAAACUCGGGAGUAAAACACAAACAAACAAUGUGUUGUUUUUAGCCCACCACUGCGUUAAGUCCAAUCAGGACCAGCCUAACACUGGGCUUCUCUACCACAACAAGAUGUGCGACAAAUUCACAGAGAUGCAUGUUUUUCAUACACAAAUAGCAGAGGCUGCUUUGGCUUACAUUUGUGGAAAUUCUUUGUACUUUCCAUCUCUUAUUUUACCUCAGUACUGUCCUCUUUGAGCUUUUAAAGGCAUAGUUUUCAGCGGUACAGGCAAAAAAAAAUUGACUGUUAACCCUGCAGCUGUGUACUUUUGAAUUCUCUCUCAAUUUUUAUAGUCAAAAAGGAGAAUCAAACACGUGACCAGGCAGAUGGGUUAAACUACAACAAUCCACUUCCACUCAGAUUGCACAAAAAUUAGCUACAAGGUUGAAACACCAUAAAGUCAAAUUAACAUAACUGGCAUAUCAGAGUUUACAAAAGCAAAGUAAGUUAGACUUGUACCUGCAAUGUUGAAGCUGCUGAGUCACUAGUAUCUGUCAGUCCUGUACCUCUGGGUAUACUGGACACAAUGUAUCUGGAUCCCUUUGGCACAGGCUGUCUGACCACCAGCUUUCCUUUCCUGGUCUCUGCUAGAAACAGACUGUACCAGUAGGCAUCAUUGGACACCAGAGUGGAGUCUGCGAUGGUGGAGUUCCUCUCACUGAUCACACUGUUCCUGCAGGGAGGAGCCGCUUUGCUGGGCUUGGUUUUCUGACACUUGAGCACGAUGGUGACCAGUAUGGUGAUGAGCAGGAGAAAUGACACCGAGCCCAGACCGAUGACCAAGUACAGGUUCAGGUCAUUGAAGAUGUCGUACGCCAGAGGCACCUCAGUCAUGUCAGAGUAGGCCUUGACAGCAGUCUCCACUGUGGACAGCUUGAUGGUGACUGUAGCAGACAAAGCGGGCUGCCCGUUGUCCUUGGCAACCACAACCAGUCUCUGGUGGCGUGGGUCUCUGUAGCUGAACAUCCUCAUGGUCCGGAUCUCUCCGUUGUACUGGUCCAGACUGAACAAGGUGGCGUCAGUCACCUGCAGAAACUGGUAGGUGAUCCGAGAGUUGUGCACAGAGUCUGUGUCCAAGGCUAUCACCUUGGCAACCAGAGAGCCUUUAUCUGUGGACCUGGGGAUCUUUUCCUCCACCACUGAGCCAUGUGCUCUCCAUGGAGACACAAUGACCGGAGCGUUAUCAUUCUGGUCCACAAUGAUGAUGUGGACUGUGACGUUACUGCUGAGAGGAGGAGAGCCAGAGUCUCUGGCCUCAAUGUGGAAAAGAAAGUCCUUCUCAAUCUCAUAGUCAAAAGUUUUGAGUGCGUAAAGAUUUCCGUUCUCUGGAUUGAUGGAGAACAGCAUGGACAUGGAGGUGUUGGCUAUCUCCUUCUCCAGGAUGAAAUAAACUAGAUACUGGUUUUCAUGGAGGUCAGGGUCAAAGGCAGUGAGGGAGCUGAGCAGGGCUCCAGGUGCGUUAUUCUCCAUCACACGGAUGGUAUAAAAUGACUGAGGGAACUGUGGGACAUUGUCGUUGACAUCCAGCAGCUCUAAGGUCAUAGUUUCAUUGUCAGAUAAAGGAGGAGAACCUCUGUCUGUCACAGUGAAGGUGAUGUCAUAUUCUGGAACCUUCUCACGGUCUAAGGGCUCUGACACCACUAACUCAUAAUAGUUAUCAGAGGACUCUCUCAGUUUGAAAGGCAUAUUAUCUGGAAUAUGAAGAUCAACCACUCCAUUAUCACCAGAGUCUUUAUCACUCACACUUACCACAGCUAUCACUGUGUCUAGUUCUAUGUUUUCAUUGACUGGACUCUGAAAUGAUUUAAUAGAUAUUUCUGGGUGGUUAUCAUUCAUGUCUUCUACCAGAAUCUUUAUGGUACACUGUCCUGAUAAACUGUUGGCUCCUUUGUCAGUAGCUAUAACUUCCAUAUCAUAAAUCCUGAAAUCCUCAUAAUUCAGCAUGCCUUUAACAGUGAUUUCACCAGUGGAGGGAUUCAGGUGAAAUGUUUCCUGUGUUUUCUCUGAUGUGUAUAAACUGUAAGAGUAAGUUACAUCAGAGUUAGAUCCCUCAUCUAAGUCUGUGGCAUUCAGAUGAAUAACAAGACUCCCUAUGGGAGAGUUUUCCAUUAUUUUAAUGUUAUAAUUUACUUUGCUAAACACAGGAGGGUUAUCAUUUGUGUCUGAAACAUGAACUAUCACACUUGCAGUACCAGAUCGAGCCGGUGUGCCUCCAUCUACAGCUGUGAGAAUCAAAUUAUGAACAGCAUUGUGCUCCCGGUCUAGGGCCUUUGUCAAAAUCAGUUCAGCAAAUUUCGUCCCCUCUCUUCCAGUCUGCACCUCAAUACUAAAAUGUUCACUUUCACUGAGAAGAUACGUUUUUACCGAGUUUGUUCCGACAUCAGGAUCAGCUGCAUUACUCAGAGAGAAUCUCUCUCCUACAGGCGUAGCUUCAGAGAUAUCCAGAUGAAUGGCGUCUCUUCUGAACUGUGGGGCGUUGUCGUUUAUGUCCAGAAUUUCUAAUUCUGUAUUAAAUAUCCUUAAUGGGUUUUCGAGUAUUACCUCCAUUCUAAGAUAGCAAGACGACUUUGCAGGACAGAUGUGCUCUCUAUCUAUCUUCUCAACAAUGUACAAUUCCCCAGUCUCUUUGUUCACGUCCAGAUAUUUCUUAUUUGCAAUGAUGUCGACUCGCAUCUUUCGCUGCGCCAGUGUCUUGACAUCAAUAUUUAGAUCGCCGGCAAUGUUUGCAACAACUGAUCCCUCUUUCAUUUCUUCGGGUAUUGAAUAAUGAGUCACCGAGGACGAUAUUUCACUGAUGAAAGAUGCGACAUGAAGGAGCAGCACGUACCUUAUGAAUGUCUCCAUUGUUACUAAGCGUCCCAUUGUUGUGUCCGCAUGUACUGAACGUUAACCCCGGUAAUAUAAAUUCCCACUGAUAAGGAGAAUUGUUGUAACUUCUUCGAUCCGAUACAUAUUUUUCAAGAAUUCCGAGAGUACUUAAGCAUUGAAGCAAAAAACAAGAACACGUCUCUUGACUGGAGUUUCAGCACCACGAAGCUGUCCGCCUUUUUCACCAUCUGUGCUGAGGUUUUGCUUUCAAAGGGACCACAAGCUUGCAUUUAUCUUUAAAACAGCGCCAUCUUUAGUAUGGAUUGGGGCUGUGUGCAUGAUGGAUUAAUUUAAAAAAACUAUAUUUGAAUUAAAGUGAUCUAUAUUUCUUUUAUUUCUUCGAUUUUUUGUUAUGAUAUUUAAAGUUUGGAAAAAAAUAAUAUCUUAUGAUAUCUUAUUACCUUGUUAUUAUUGCAAUAUCCUAUUGCAUUAAAAAAGUUAAAGUUUCUUGGACUCUUACCUGCAGAGUAGAGGCUGCUGAGUCACUGGUGUCUGUCAGUCCUGUACCUCUGGGUAUACUGGACACUAUGUAUCUGGAUCCCUUUGGCACAGGCUGUCUGACCACCAGCUUUCCUUUCCUGGUCUCUGCUAGAAACAGACUGUACCAGUAGGCAUCAUUGGACACCAGAGUGGAGUCUGCGAUGGUGGAGUUCCUCUCACUGAUCACACUGUUCCUGCAGGGAGGAGCCGCUUUGCUGGGCUUGGUUUUCUGACACUUGAGCACGAUGGUGACCAGUAUGGUGAUGAGCAGGAGAAAUGACACGGAGCCCAGACCGAUGACCAAGUACAGGUUCAGGUCAUUGAAGAUGUCGUACGCCAGAGGCACCUCAGUCAUGUCAGAGUAGGCCUUGACAGCAGUCUCCACUGUGGACAGCUUGAUGGUGACUGUAGCAGACAAAGCAGGCUGCCCGUUGUCCUUGGCAACAACAACCAGUCUCUGGUGGCGUGGGUCUCUGUAGCUGAACAUCCUCAUAGUCCGGAUCUCUCCGUUGUACUGGUCCAGACUGAACAAGGUGGCGUCAGUCACCUGCAGAAACUGGUAGGUGAUCCGAGAGUUGUGCACAGAGUCUGUGUCCAAGGCUAUCACCUUGGCAACCAGAGAGCCUUUAUCUGUGGACCUGGGGAUCUUUUCCUCCACCACUGAGCCGUGUGCUCUCCACGGAGACACAAUGACGGGAGCGUUAUCAUUCUGGUCCACAAUGAUGAUGUGGACUGUGACGUUACUGCUGAGAGGAGGAGAGCCAGAGUCUCUGGCCUCAAUGUGGAAAAGAAAGUCCUUCUCAAUCUCAUAGUCAAAAGUUUUGAGUGCGUAAAGAUUUCCGUUCUCUGGAUUGAUGGAGAACAGCAUGGACAUGGAGGUGUUGGCUAUCUCCUUCUCCAGGAUGAAAUAAACUAGAUACUGGUUUUCAUGGAGGUCAGGGUCAAAGGCAGUGAGGGAGCUGAGCAGGGCUCCAGGUGCGUUAUUCUCCAUCACACGGAUGGUAUAAAAUGACUGAGGGAACUGUGGCGCGUUAUCAUUAACAUCCAGCAGGUGUAGAUGUAUCGUUUCGUUAUCAGAUAAAGGAGGCGUUCCUGCAUCUGUUACAGUCAGCAUGAUGUCAUAUUCAGGUACUAACUCUCGAUCUAAGGGUGCGGACACAAUGAGCUUGUAAUGUAUGGGUCUAUCUGAAGAUUUGUUUAGAAUAAAUGGCAGGUUCUUAUUAAUGGAUAAGCUCACUUCCCCAUUCUCAUUCGUAUCUCUGUCACUUAUACCCACUACAGCAAUAACACUCCCCACAGAGAUGUUUUCAUCCACUGUGUUUUUGACGGACUGUAUAGUAAUUUCCGGAUAAUUAUCAUUCAUAUCGAUCACGUGCACCACUACUUUACACUGACCUAACAAUGGAUGCGCCCCUUUGUCCCUGGCUUCAAUGUGCAUCUCAUAAAUCUUCAUAUCUUCAAAGUCAAUGGUGCCUUUCACAGUUAACUCCCCUGUGUUGGGAUUCAGCGCAAAGACAUCCUGUGUUUUUUCUGACGUGUAAAGAGUGAACGAGUACACGAUUUCUGAAUUAAGACCCUCAUCCAGAUCUGUGGCAUUAAGCUUCAUCACCAAUGUUCCAAUGGGGGAAUUUUCCGUCAUGUUUAUAGUGUAGGUCUGCCGGUCAAAUUGAGGAGGAUUAUCGUUUGUGUCUUGGACAUUCACAAUAAUGUUGGCAGUGCCGGAGCGCACAGGGACCCCGCCAUCCACAGCAGUCAGGAUUAGAUUAUGAACCGCCUGCUUCUCUCUGUCUAAAGAUUUCGCCAACACCAAAUCCACAUACUGAGUUCCAUCACUGCCCGUCUGAAUUUCGAUAGUAAAGUGUUCACUGAGACUGAGUCUGUAUGUUUUUAUCGUAUUUACGCCAACAUCCGGAUCCAUAGCAUUGGGCAGGGAGAAUCUUUCUCCUGGUGUUGCUGAUUCUGAAACGUCGAGCUCUACUCUGUCUCGUCGAAAAUGUGGAGCGUUGUCAUUAAUGUCCGUUAUUCCAAGCUCAAUAUUGAAGAUGCGUAAAGGGCUUUCUAUGAUCACAUCAAGCUUUAGAAAACAGGAUGCUAUUUUAGGACAAAGCUGUUCUCUGUCCAUUUUUUCCACAAUAUACAGCUCCCCCGUCUUUUUAUUGACAUCUAAAUAUUUUUUGUUGUGAAAAAUGUCAAGUUUUACCUCUCGCUGUGCCAAUCCUCCAAGCUCAAGUCCCAAAUCCGCAGCCAGAUUCGCCACAACAGAGCCCCUCUCCAUCUCCUCGGCAAUGGAGUAACGAGUCACAGACAAAGCUCUGGGCCAUGUUGAACACAAGACAAAGACAGUGGUCCAAAAAUGCAUCCUUUUGUCUGCAGCAAACAUACACUCCAUAGAAUAAAUAUUUGUGAUGCUUUUAAUGGCAUCAGAUAUCUGACAAAAUGUCCUGAAUCAUGUGUGUGGGUCGUGUUGCUAAUUUUGAAAUAGUUUAUCUCCCAAAAACCCGCAUCCAGCCCCUUAGAAAUGGGUGUG
rnacentral:lncRNA from 1 species